UACGUAGGGUGCAAGCGUUGUCCGGAAUUAUUGGGCGUAAAGAGCUCGUAGGCGGUUUGUCGCGUCUGCUGUGAAAACCCGAGGCUCAACCUCGGGCCUGCGGUGGGUACGGGCAGACUAGAGUGCGGUAGGGGAGAUUGGAAUUCCUGGUGUAGCGGUGGAAUGCGCAGAUAUCAGGAGGAACACCAAUGGCGAAGGCAGAUCUCUGGGCCGUAACUGACGCUGAGGAGCGAAAGCCAGGGGAGCAAACGGG
rnacentral:rRNA from 1 species